rnacentral:tRNA from 1 species
GGGCUGUUAGCUCAGUCUGGUAGAGUAGCUGGCUUUUAACCAGUUGGUCAUGGGUUCGAAUCCCAUACAGCCCGC